rnacentral:rRNA from 1 species
CGUAGGGUGCAAGCGUUGUCCGGAUUUAUUGGGCGUAAAGAGCUCGUAGGCGGUUAGUCACGUCGGAUGUGAAAACCCGGAGCUUAACUCCGGGCCUGCAUUCGAUACGGGCUGACUAGAGUGUUGUAGGGGAGACUGGAACUCCUGGUGUAGCGGUGAAAUGCGCAGAUAUCAGGAAGAACACCGGUGGCGAAGGCGGGUCUCUGGGCAACUACUGACGCUGAGGAGCGAAAGCGUGGGGAGCAAACAGGAUU